CAUGAACCGGGAGAUCAUGACCUGAGCCGAAGUCAGACGCUUAACUAGACUGAGCCACCCAGAUGCCCCCAUGCCUUAAUUCUUUCUAACUCAUCCUUUGACAAGGGUAGAAAGGAUACAUGGUUAAGCAAAAGAAGAAGGAGGAAGUGAAAGAAAGAAUUAGGUAGCAUGUAAAUAGAGACCUGAGGUGUGGUGUCUACACAUCCGGGACUUUCCCCAGGAUGGUGUACGGCUGCACCCGGCCUUCUCAGAGACCAGCCAACUCUGUGUGCUCAGCUCUUCCCCCCAUCUUCCCUGCAGCCACCCUGGCAGAUCCAGUGUGUUUCCACCCAAGCAGACCUGCCUCUACCACUCGCUCGUCCCCAGAUUUCCACACGCUCCUGCUCCCCCCUCCUGAAGACUUAGUGGAGGGCAGGCCCAAUGCCUUUGCUGCCCUGGUAUCUCCUCCCCAAGACAGGUCCUUUUAAAACAGGCUUAGUGCAGGAAGGGAGGGUAUGUGUGGUAAGUAUGGUACCAGGGCUGGUGUCCACUGUCCCGUCCUAGCCUUCCAAACAACUGUCUGAGGUGGGCAGUAUUAUGGGUCGAGGAGGUUGGAGAAUUCCGUCCAGGUCACUUUAAUGCCCCUGUCCCCCCUACCCCCCCCCCCCCCCCCCGCCCAAGUGACAGGGUCUUACAGCGUUCCAAGGCCAGUGGUUUCUGGCUCCCGACAGGAAGCCUGCUGAGCGUUCCAUUGCCUCUGCUUCCUACCCAGCACCUCCUGCCACCCAGAGGAAGGAUGUCUUGUGCCUUUUGUUCUUUGAGAAGUUGCAGACGAUAACCUCUGGGGAGCCCCCGCAGGCCUUGCCGCUCUCCGUCUGUGACAGAAGAGAGCAUUUCCGUCCACCAGACUCUAGAGUUCGGAGCAGUGUGCAUCAUUCGUCAAGUAUAUAACCUGAAGCAGCUGCUGAGGUGGUGGCACCAUCGGUGUGGGUCACUUCCUUUCUAACUGAUGACUGCCUGACUCAGACUCAUGAGGGAAGGGAGGACAGAGCAGCCAUUUCCAUGGAACCAACGCUCCCGGAGGCUGACCACAGUUUUAGUGAUGGCUCCAAGGGGCCAGUCUUCAUCACAGGUAUGUCUCGUGAGGAUGCAACGGCCAGAAGAAUUUUAUUUUAACAACUUUCAUAUUACAUAUGAAACUAAA